AACGAACGCUGGCGGCAGGCUUAACACAUGCAAGUCGAACGCCCCGCAAGGGGAGUGGCAGACGGGUGAGUAACGCGUGGGAACAUACCCUUUUCUACGGAAUAGCUCUGGGAAACUGGAAUUAAUACCGUAUACGCCCUACGGGGGAAAGAUUUAUCGGGGAAGGAUUGGCCCGCGUUGGAUUAGCUAGUUGGUGGGGUAAAGGCCUACCAAGGCGACGAUCCAUAGCUGGUCUGAGAGGAUGAUCAGCCACAUUGGGACUGAGACACGGCCCAAACUCCUACGGGAGGCAGCAGUGGGGAAUAUUGGACAAUGGGCGCAAGCCUGAUCCAGCCAUGCCGCGUGAGCGAUGAAGGCCUUAGGGUUGUAAAGCUCUUUCACCGAUGAAGAUAAUGACGGUAGUCGGAGAAGAAGCCCCGGCUAACUUCGUG
rnacentral:rRNA from 1 species